AGCCCCGUGGUGUAGAAACAUGUUGGAUUGCAAAUCCAGAGACGUAGAUUGAUAGUCUGCCGGGGCUU
rnacentral:tRNA from 1 species